GCCUCCUUCCUCCCUCUUCCUCCGCCGCCGCCUCCUUAACUGACGCUCCGCGGGAGACACUGACACCGGCGCACGGAUAUCCACGGGGCGCUAUUUUUAGGCAACACGACCAAGGCGCUGCCGGAACUCCUUCUCGCCCGCCGCCCCUCUUCCUCCUCCUUCAAGCCUCUCCAGGAGGGCAAUACACAAUCCACUCACAGCCGUCGGUCUCGUAUCCCUCCGCCGCUUCACGCAGCCACCGCCGCCCCGUUUCCCGAGUCUCGACAGCGGCAAGACCGGCGGGCCAAGGAAGCGGGUGCCUGAGAAACCUAGCGCGCCUCCCCACGCUCGCUUUGGUUUACGUCUUUCCCCGUCGAAGAGCCACAGGCCGUGAGGACUACGUUUUGCUUAACAAUGCGGAACAUCUUAUAAGUCUCCAACAACAGUGCUCCUGGCAACAUUUAAAUCAGGGUAUUUCCCAUUCCACUCAAAUUGGAAGAAGUUCUAGGAUUGUCUGAGUCAUCUUUUCAGUGUAUAAAAAGCUCAGCUUCAACUAGUGAUUAAUGUGGGGUGUGCCCUGACAGUGCAGAAGAUUCAACAAAUUCCGUGUCGCAUCCUUUGAGCUGUUUCCCUCGCGCUGGAAUAAAAACGUUUGAAAAUAAGGGCUGGGAAGAAAGGAGCAGGAAACGUGCAAAGCCCAAUCCUCCAUGAAGCACCAGUGGAGAAGAUCAGUGAAAGGACAGGUGCUUGUGAAAUCAGAAGGUGUCAAUCAGUUAAGUCAACCAUGGCAGGCCGCUUUUCCUUUGCGAGGCUCAAGCAAGUCAGUGGAUAAUGAUGGCUCAUAUGCAACCAGUGUUCGGAAUGAACUAGUUUCAGUUUAACAAAAUUCACUGACUGAAUUGGUUCAAAGAAAUCUCUGAACUACACCUGAAAGUAGCUCCUAUAAUUGCCAGAUCAAAUGAAUGUAAAUUGAGUGCAUUUUGGGGUCAUGAUUUCUAGUUCAUCUUCAAUUUCAUUCUCUUAUGAGUCC